CAGAAAGGAGGCAUGGGAAAUGCCCGUCCCUAGGCAGCGGAUUAUGCCUGCAACCGUUCAGCAGCCGCCAAAUUCUCAUCUUCCAGCCUGCUGUCCAAACACUCGAAACUGAUCCCUUCCUUCAAUUGAUCAGGAGGAAGCUGAAUAAAGAUGGAUGGACAACUGGCAUUGGCUGAAGAAGGCAAAUACUCCACCUUCUCUCCUGCACCUUUUUCUUGUAAGCAGGAGUUCUAGUCUCCACAGGACUGAGUUAUGCAGAAUGCAAUAGACACCUAGAGUCAAAAAUCCUUGUCUGGUAGCUACUGCUGCAAUCUUGUAACCCCAACUACAUCAAGUAGAGAGGCAAUUAUACAAGAGUGAAAUGUUGUGGAUGCUGGAGGAAGAAAUGAAAAAGCUCAGCAGGUGAGGCAGCAUCUGAGAAGCAAGAAAGGAAAUUAACUAUUUCCUGUUUUUCCCUCUGCAGACGCUGCCCGACCUGCAGAAUAUUUCCGGCAAUUCCACUACUUUAUGCUAGUCAAUAGAAAACCAAUCAUCCGUGAUCCUCAGGCGCUAUAGAGCCAGGUAUUCCGCUGAGAAGGGGAGGCUAUGGUCCAAAGCACUCGAAAUCAAAUACCUGAUGUCUACAUAAAGUUUGGUCUUGCAUAAUGGUUAGUGCAACGUGUACACUGUCAGUGAUCGUGACCAGGCCUGUCUGCAAGGAGUUUGUGCAUUCUCCCUGUGUCGGUGUGGGUUUCCACCAGGUGCUUCAGUUCCCUCCUACGUUUCAAAGAUGUACAGUUAGGGUUAGUGAGCUAUGAGUAUGCUAGUUUGGCACCAGAAGUGAGCUGCCCCCAGUACAAUCCUCACUGAUGCAAUUUGAUGCAUUUCAUGGUACGCUUCAUCAUACAUAAAUGGAGCAAGUAAAGCUUUAUUAAGUGAAAUUUUACUUUGCAGAGAAAAAUAAUCAGUCACAGUGUCAACAAAGAAUUAUUUCAUUUGGUUGGGAACAUAAGGAAAAAAUACAGAUUCUUGAUCUUUCUAACUGCCUGGUAAUUCUCCGACAGACCAUGUAAAGGUAUAUAUUUCCUUGUGUAAACUGCAAAUCCAAUCUACCAGAAAGUAAUAUUACACAAAACUAAAACCAAUGCAGCAUAUUGCACCAGAUUUGCUGGAUAACUAGAAGCCAAUUACUCUAAGGACAGCUGUGAGCAAAGUUUUGGAAUCCAUAAUUCAUGAUCAAAUUAAUGCACACUUAGAAAUGGAUGGGAUAAUUGAGGGCAGCCAACGCAGAUUUAUUAAAGUUGGGCUGUGUUUUAUAUCUGUGAUCAUGUAAAUAAAAGCAAUCCACUAAAUGUUGUGGACAUGGAUAUUCAGAGGAUGUCGUGUAAAAUUUUUCACAGUUGGCUUAGUGUUGUAAGUGCAGAAUCAAACCUUUCAGGAUAUCAGAUUUAUGUUCACUAUCAACCACCCUUCUACACAGAUCCCCACAUUCACAAGACCUAGGAGCAGAGUUAGACCUUUUGGCCCAUCUGGUCUGCUUUGUCAUUCAAUCAUGGCUCAUUUA